rnacentral:rRNA from 1 species
GAUCCUGGCUCAGGAUGAACGCUGGCGGCGUGCUCAACACAUGCAAGUCGAGCGAAGCACUUAGGAAAGAUUCUUCGGAUGAUUUCCUAUUUUGACUGAGCGGCGGACGGGUGAGUAACGCGUCGGUAACCUGCCUCAUACAGGGGGAUAACAGUUAGAAAUGACUGCUAAUACCGCAUAAGAUCACAGCACCGCAUGGUGCAGGGGUAAAAACUCCGGUGGUAUGAGAUGGACCCG